UACGUAGGGUGCGAGCGUUGUCCGGAUUUAUUGGGCGUAAAGAGCUCGUAGGCGGUUUGUCGCGUCGGCCGUGAAAUCUCCACGCUUAACGUGGAGCGUGCGGUCGAUACGGGCAGACUUGAGUUCGGUAGGGGAGACUGGAAUUCCUGGUGUAGCGGUGAAAUGCGCAGAUAUCAGGAGGAACACCGGUGGCGAAGGCGGGUCUCUGGGCCGAUACUGACGCUGGAGGAGCGAAAGCAUGGGAGCGAACAGG
rnacentral:rRNA from 1 species